rnacentral:rRNA from 1 species
AGAGUUUGAUCCUGGCUCAGAACGAACGCUGGCGGCGUGGAUAAGACAUGCAAGUCGAACGGGACAAUUUCGGUAGUAAUAUCGAGAUUGUCUAGUGGCGAACGGGUGCGUAACACGUGGAUACAUUCCGGGAAGCGGGGGAUAGCCCAGGGAAACUUGGAUUAAUACCGCAUGUGGUUGAAAAACUAAAGGUGGGGACCGCAAGGCCUGCCACUUCCCGAUUGGUCCGCGGCCUAUCAGCUAGUUGGUGAGGUAAAGGCUCACCAAGGCUACGACGGGUAGCUGGUCUUAGAGGACGACCAGCCACACUGGAACUGAGACACGGUCCAGACACCUACGGGUGGCAGCAGUCGAGAAUCUUUCACAAUGGGGGCAACCCUGAUGGAGCGACGCCGCGUGGAGGAUAAGGUCUUCGGAUUGUAAACUCCUGUCAUGCGCGAACAAGGCUGCCUGGUUAAUAGCCGGGCAGAUUGAUGGUAGCGCAAGAGGAAGAGACGGCUAACUCUGUGCCAGCAGCCGCGGUAAUACAGAGGUCUCAAGCGUUGUUCGGAAUCACUGGGCGUAAAGGGUGCGUAGGUGGCGUGGUAAGUCAGAUGUGAAAGCCCAGGGCUCAACCCUGGAACUGCAUCCGAUACUGCCAUGCUAGAGAACUGAAGAGGAGUGUAGAAUUCUCGGUGUAGCAGUGAAAUGCGUAGAUAUCGAGAGGAAUACCAACGGCGAAGGCAGCACUCUGGGCAGUUUCUGACACUGAGGCACGAAGGCUAGGGGAGCAAACGGGAUUAGAUACCCUGGUAGUCC